GUCUGGAUCGAUUUGGGUAUAAU
rnacentral:snRNA from 1 species